rnacentral:rRNA from 1 species
AUGUACAUCACUUCAUCAAUCCAUCUCUUCCCUACAGAUCCUUCUAUAUCCAUUUAUCUUCCUCAGCUUCAAUACAUUUCAAGACUUCCAACUAGCCUUAUAGCAAUGUCAACAUCCCCCAACCAUGUUUUUGCCAUCGCCAUCAUGCUCCUUUCCACUAUCAUUGCUGCUGAAGCCAGUGACUCUGGUGGUGGCAAUCCCAAGGUCACCAACUUCAUGGUGGAAGCGUGCAAGAAUGCCUCAAAGAAAAACCAAUAUUAUGACCCCGACCCAAUGACGCAGGAGUUUUGUGUGUCAACCCUCAAGUUGGACAAACGGAGCGCCGAUGCUAAGGAUCUCCAUGGCCUGGUACUCGUCGCCAUCGACAUACUCAAGGGUCAGGUUGCUGCUGCCAACGACAAUGUCAAACAAAUGCUGCACAACACCAAGAAUGGCACGGUUACAAUGUUUAACCUCAGUUUCUGUGUGGUGGACUACGACCGCAUGCUAAGCAUCCUCAAAAUAUGUGACAACAUGAUAAGCGAGUACCACAGUAGCAAGGGCGGUGCCAAUGAUGGAUCGCGGUCUUCUGUGCUGCCCGCUUGUUUGACGAAACUUGACGAACCUCUCGUCGACAUUUGGCUAAGACUUGUUGGUGAGUCGGAGCUGGAAAAGUUGUCCGAUGAUUACGAUGCUGUGGGCAAGCUGGUCAAACUUAACUUUUGCCUUGCUAGCACCAUAUAG